UCGAGCCGUGUGCGGCGAAAGUCGCAUGCACGGUUCCAAGGGGGCUUGGGACUGGCAACGGUCCCCGGCUACCCGAU
rnacentral:ncRNA from 1 species